GGAUAUUUUCCCUCUGAUGCAUUCUUUUACUCUGGUGAGUGUAGAAAGUGUGGUGCUUUUCUACUGAGGCGUGCGUUGAGCUUGCUGGCGUGUGCCAUCAUACGUGAGCACGUGGUUGAGAUGUGUUUGGGCUUUCAUGCGUGGUAUCUGUUGUUCUGCUCCCAGCAAAUGCGGGGUGAAUGCACCUAGAAGCAAUUAUUUAUGCAUUUUGGUCUAUCACCUUGCUAGUCAUGUCACUGUGUUCUGAUGGGGGCAGGGGGGCGGUGACCUUUGUGUUUAUUUUGAGGGCUGAACUAACUAACUGUGAGCCAUUUUCUGAGCAGAAGCAAAACACAAUAACUGGGUAUUUUAAGAAUUAUAUUUACUGAGCUAACUCCUAAGUGGUUCCAAACCUCUUCCAAACUGUUUGCUGAAUAACAAAAGAGCAGAAGGAUGUGUAUUUGCAUUAAAUUUUCUUAGAUUUACAUAAAUACGAAAUAUCUGUCCUUUUCACUUACAGCAAAAGUAGCAAAAUCUCAGUGUGCAGAGGGAAUGUGUUUGAAUGCAUUUAUGUAUUUAACCCACGCUGUUCAUCUGUCUGUACUGUGUCCAUUAAAAAUCCCGGCAGAUAACCCGCUUUGUACUUCUUUCACGAUGCUGUAUACCGAAUUUAAGAUGAAAUACCCAAGAAUUCAACCACCGGCCACCUUUGCAUUGGGAAAUGGCUUCCUGAGAUUCAGCAUAUUUAAAUAAGCCCUGCAGGAGGGCUGGAAGCAGGGCGUGCGCGGGGCCCCUGCAGCGUUCGGGCGCGCUCUCUCUGCCCUCCUGCCCCAAAUGCUCGCUCCGUGCCGGCAGCAGGUAACCAGGCAGGUGUCUCACCCUGCCCUUUACGUGCCUUCCCCGCGUGAUGCUCAGUUGGCUUUCCCGGGAUGCCGGGGGGCGGCGGGCAGCACCGGAGCAGCGGCGGGGCGGAGCCCAGGGCAGCGGCGCCGCUCAUCGCUGCCCGCCGAGCGCCCGCUGCCCGCCCUUCCCCCGCUCCCCGCCUUCCCCGGCGCAACCCGGGCAGCUCCGAGCGAAAAAGGAGAAAGAAAGGAAAUGGAGACACAUAAUGGUUUUUGUUCACGGUGAAAAGAGAACAGAGAGUGUGAGAGGAGCAAGAUGGGAGCCUUGCUUCUCACUCACACCCCCUCGUCGCUCCUUUUUCACUGGCCAUGCCCUUGGAGCACAUCGGGAAUAACUGGGUUUCACGCAGCGUUUGCCGCCAGCGUGACUCUCUGCAAGCAAGGCUCCCUCGAGGUUUGCUGAACUGGCAAUGGCCCCGGAAAUGCAGCCUUUGGUAAGGUGUC